GACGAACGCUGGCGGCGUGCUUAACACAUGCAAGUCGAACGGAAAGGCCCCUUUGGGGGUACUCGAGUGGCGAACGGGUGAGUAACACGUGAGUAACCUUCCCUUGACUUCGGGACAACUUCAGGAAACUGGGGCUAAUACCGGAUAGGAAUCCUUGCUGCAUGGUGGGGGUUGGAAAGCUUCGGCGGUUUUGGAUGGACUCGCGGCCUAUCAGCUUGUUGGUGGGGUAGUGGGUUACCAAGGCUUUGACGGGUAGCCGGCCUGAGGGGGCGACCGGCCACAUUGAGACUGAGGGAAGGCACAGACUCCGACGGGAGGCAGAAGUGGGGAAGAUUGAACAAGGGGCGGAAGCCUGAUGCAGCAGGGCCGCGUGCGGGAUGACGGCCUUCGGGUUGUAGAACGCUUUCAGCAGGAGCGAAGCUUGUGGUGACGGUACCUGCAGAAGAAGCACCGGCUAACUACGUG
rnacentral:rRNA from 1 species